rnacentral:rRNA from 1 species
AUUGAACGCUGGCGGCAUGCCUUACGCAUGCAAGUCGAACGGCAGCACGGGGCAACCUGGUGGCGAGUGGCGAACGGGUGAGUAAUGCAUCGGAACGUACCUUUCAGUGGGGGAUAACGUAGCGAAAGUUACGCUAUUACCGCAUAUUCUGUGAGCAGGAAAGCAGGGGAUCGCAAGACCUUGCGCUGAUUGAGCGGCCGAUGUCAGAUUAGCUAGUUGGUGAGGUAAAGGCUCACCAAGGCGACGAUCUGUAGCGGGUCUGAGAGGAUGAUCCGCCACACUGGAACUGAGACACGGUCCAGACUCCUACGGGAGGCAGCAGUGGGGAAUUUUGGACAAUGGGGGCAACCCUGAUCCAGCCAUGCCGCGUGAGUGAAGAAGGCCUUCGGGUUGUAAAGCUCUUUCGGCCGGGAAGAAAUCGCACGGGCUAAUACCCUGUGUGGAUGACGGUACCGGAAUAAGAAGCACCGGCUAACUACGUGCCAGCCGCCGCAGUAAAAC